GUUUGUGGCUCCAUGGAAGAGCACUUGCCUGGCAUGCAUGAGGCAUUGGGUUCAAUCCCCAGCAUCACA
rnacentral:tRNA from 1 species